rnacentral:rRNA from 1 species
AUUGAACGCUGGCGGAAUGCUUUACACAUGCAAGUCGAACGGCAGCACGGACUUCGGCCUGGUGGCGAGUGGCGAACGGGUGAGUAAUGUAUCGGAACGUGCCCAGUCGUGGGGGAUAACGUAGUGAAAAUUACGCUAAUACCGCAUACGAUCUAUGGAUGAAAGCGGGGGAUCGCAAGACCUCGCGCGAUUGGAGCGGCCGAUAUCAGAUUAGGUAGUUGGUGGGGUAAAGGCCCACCAAGCCAACGAUCUGUAGCUGGUCUGAGCGGACGACCAGCCAAACGGGAACUGAGACACGGUCCAGACUACUACGGGCGGCAGCAGUGGGGAAUUUUAGACAAUGGGCGAAAGCCUGGUCCAGCCAGUCCGCGUGCAGGAUGAAGGCCCUCGGGUUGUAAACUGCUUUUGUACAGAAAGAAAAGGUUUCUACUAAUACUAGGAGCUCAUGACGGUACUGUAAGAAUAAGCACCGGCUAACUACGUGCCAGCCGCCGCCGUAA